rnacentral:rRNA from 1 species
CCCCAGGCCAUGGAUACGUACCCGCCCUGAGAGGUUAUUGGCCCCAUUGGGACUGAGACCCGGCCCAGAUUCCUACGGGAGGCAGCAGUAGGGAUCUUCCCCAAUGGACGCAAGUCUGAUGGAGCAACGCCGCGUGAGUGAAGAAGGGUUUCGGCUCGUAAAGCUCUGUUGUUAAAGAAGAACGUGGGUAAGAGUAACUGUUUACCCAGUGACGGUAUUUAACCAGAAAGCCACGGCUAACUACGUGCCAGCAGCCGCGGUAAUACGUAGGUGGCAAGCGUUAUCCGGAUUUAUUGGGCGUAAAGCGAGCGCAGGCGGUCUUUUAAGUCUAAUGUGAAAGCCUUGGCUCAACCGAAGAAGUGCAUUGGAAACUGGGAGACUUGAGUGCAGAAGAGGACAGUGGAACUCCAUGUGUAGCGGUGAAAUGCGUAGAUAUAUGGAAGAACACCAGUGGCGAAGGCGGCUGUCUGGUCUGCAACUGACGCUGAGGCUCGAAAGCAUGGGUAGCGAACAGGAUUAGAUACCCUGGUAGUCCAUGCCGUAAACGAUGAUUACUAAGUGUUGGAGGGUUUCCGCCCUUCAGUGCUGCAGCUAACGCAUUAAGUAAUCCGCCUGGGGAGUACGACCGCAAGGUUGAAACUCAAAAGAAUUGACGGGGGCCCGCACAAGCGGUGGAGCAUGUGGUUUAAUUCGAAGCUACGCGAAGAACCUUACCAGGUCUUGACAUCUUCUGACAGUCUAAGAGAUUAGAGGUUCCCUUCGGGGACAGAAUGACAGGUGGUGCAUGGUUGUCGUCAGCUCGUGUCGUGAGAUGUUGGGUUAAGUCCCGCAACGAGCGCAACCCUUAUUACUAGUUGCCAGCAUUAAGUUGGGCACUCUAGUGAGACUGCCGGUGACAAACCGGAGGAAGGUGGGGACGACGUCAAAUCAUCAUGCCCCUUAUGACCUGGGCUACACACGUGCUACAAUGGAUGGUACAACGAGUCGCGAGACCGCGAGGUUAAGCUAAUCUCUUAAAACCAUUCUCAGUUCGGACUGUAGGCUGCAACUCGCCUACACGAAGUCGGAAUCGCUAGUAAUCGCGGAUCAGCAUGCCGCGGUGAAUACGUUCCCGGGCCUUGUACACACCGCCCGUCACACCAUGAGAGUUUGUAACACCCAAAGCCGGUGGGGUAACCUUUAGGAGCUAGCCGUCUA